rnacentral:rRNA from 1 species
CGGCGUGCCUAACACAUGCAAGUCGUACGAGAAAGCCGGCUUCGGCUGGUGAGUAAAGUGGCGCGCGGGUGAGUAACGCGUGGAUAAUCUGCCCUUAAGUGUGGAAUAACGUACCGAAAGGUGCGCUAAUACCGCAUAAUGCCUGGCAACACAAGUUGUCCGGCCAAAGAAGGCCUCUGUUUACAAGCUUUCGCUUCAGGAUGAGUCCGCGUACCAUUAGCUUGUUGGUGGGGUAAUGGCCUACCAAGGCUGCGAUGGUUAGCUGGUCUGAGAGGAUGAUCAGCCACACUGGAACUGAGACACGGUCCAGACUCCUACGGGAGGCAGCAGUGAGGAAUAUUGCGCAAUGGGGGCAACCCUGACGCAGCAACGCCGCGUGAGUGAGGAAGGUUUUCGGACUGUAAAGCUCUGUCGAGCGGGAAGAAGUGUACCAUGGCUAAUAUCCAUGAUAUUUGACGGUACCGCUAGAGGAAGCACCGGCUAACUCCGUG